rnacentral:rRNA from 1 species
UACGAAGGGGGCUAGCGUUGUUCGGAAUCACUGGGCGUAAAGCGCACGUAGGCGGCGCGUUAAGUCAGGGGUGAAAUCCUGGAGCUCAACUCCAGAACUGCCUUUGAUACUGGCGUGCUCGAGUGUGGGAGAGGUUGGUGGAACUCCGAGUGUAGAGGUGAAAUUCGUAGAUAUUCGGAAGAACACCAGUGGCGAAGGCGGCCAACUGGCCCAUUACUGACGAUGAGGCACGAAAGCGUGGGGAGCAAACAGG